rnacentral:lncRNA from 1 species
CUGCAAUCCGCAGAAAAUCUCAAAAUAUCCUUAAUCCGAACAAUCAUUCUAACACCAAGUUCUCUACAGAGCAUUUCAUUUGUGGAGCAUCCCAAGAGGUAAGAUUUCGUUCAGAGUUUAGAUAUGUAAGUGAUAAUUUACCUUUGGUCUUUGUAGUUGUUGGAUCAUGCUACUUCUAUUUCUGACUUCAUUUGGACACACAUUUUUGUGUGCAACUUUAAUAAACUUCAUUAAUUCAUCAUAUUUUUCCUCUGUCACCAUAGGCAUGUACUGCUCCAACAAAGGUCUUCAACAUGUCAGAACCAGGUUGUACAGCCCAAAAUGACCUUCCAAAUCCCAUGCCUCAGUCAGAAGGUCCUGCACCGGCUACUCCAGCCCCAGGACUCCAGACAGAUGAUCAGUCACCUCCAGUUCAGCCACCUUUGUAUCAGUCUGAACAGAUUUAUGAAGUUGUUCUCGAGGGUCAUGGAGAACACACAUACAUGUGUCCUGAUUCAGCUCCUCCACCUGCUGGGCUUCAGCCAGAUAAUCAACCACCUCCAGUUCAGCCCGUCAUGAAUCCGUCUGUUCCAAUUAAUGCAGUGCCUUACAUGAUUCAGCCGUAUAAAGGCUAUCCAGUCCAGAGCUACCUUCCAAAUGCCAUACCUCAGA